AUACCUAUUUGACAGGGGAGGUAUAUGACCACAAGUUGGUUUCCCUGAGGGAGGCUCAUCCAUUUCACUGGAGAUCUGCUCAAUCCUGGAAUUUCCCCAACUUCAGGAAACUCAACUGCAUUAUAUGUAAUAUAUGCAUUAUAUGUAAUAAU
rnacentral:snRNA from 1 species